AGAGUUUGAUCAUGGCUCAGGAUGAACGCUAGCUACAGGCUUAACACAUGCAAGUCGAGGGGCAGCAUCAUCAAAGCUUGCUUUGAUGGAUGGCGACCGGCGCACGGGUGAGUAACACGUAUCCAACCUGCCGACAACACUGGGAUAGCCUUUCGAAGGAAAGAUUAAUACCGGAUGGCAUAGUUUUCCCGCAUGGGAUAAUUAUUAAAGAAUUUCGGUUGUCGAUGGGGAUGCGUUCCAUUAGGCAGUUGGCGGGGUAACGGCCCACCAAACCUACGAUGGAUAGGGGUUCUGAGAGGAAGGUCCCCCACAUUGGAACUGAGACACGGUCCAAACUCCUACGGGAGGCAGCAGUGAGGAAUAUUGGUCAAUGGACGAGAGUCUGAACCAGCCAAGUAGCGUGAAGGAUGACUGCCCUAUGGGUUGUAAACUUCUUUUAUACGGGAAUAAAGUGAGCCACGUGUGGCUUUUUGUAUGUACCGUAUGAAUAAGGAUCGGCUAACUCCGUGCCAGCAGCCGCGGUAAUACGGAGGAUUCGAGCGUUAUCCGGAUUUAUUGGGUUUAAAGGGAGCGUA
rnacentral:rRNA from 1 species